AUUAUAUAUAGAGAGAGAGAGAGAGAGAGAGAGAGAGAGAGAGAGAGAGAGUUGGACUGUGCUACUAUUAGUAGCAAAAUUUCAUUGUUGCUACCAGUUUUUUAGCUUUUGGGUCAACUCUUUUCAUCAUUUCUAACCAUUGGAUUAAAUACUAUAACCUAGUGGGGACUACUCAACCCUAGGGGGACCACUCAACUCUAACUGACUAAUAUCAUCCUAAUCCUACAAUUUUUCAUCCAAUGGUUAAAAACUUGAUAGCAAAAAGAGCAUUUUACUACUAAUAGUAUUCCAGCCUAAUUCUAUAUAUAUAUAUAUAUAUAUAUAGUAAAAUCAAUUAGGGUUCGGAUGUGGUAGGGACAAAAUCUAUAUCCGAAUCAAAAUUCGUCGGAUUUUCAUUUUUGGGUUAAUUGUAUAUAACUCUCUAUAAAUAUAUCGAAUAGCAGAUAUAUUCCUACAAAGUUCAACUUUUCAUAUUUAUUCAUACAAAAAUUGUAACAUUUUUAAAUAUAUUUUUACUGUUAGAAUCCGUUAGAGAAAUAUAAUUAAUCAUAGUAAAAUACUUAGCCAUCGUUAGUGAAUGAGGUAAAUUAUUCCGUUUACUCAUUUCAUAUUAUUUAUAAUGGUAAAAAAAAAAAGGAUGACAAUCAGAGAAUUUUGGAAGGACAUUUUUAUAUAAUUCUAACAGUUAGAAUUUUUGGAGGAACAUUUGUGAUGACAAAACUGUUAUUUCACUUAUCUUCUGUUUAAACAUAAAUAAUACUCUAAUAGUAACAAACUAUAGGGGCAAAUAUAAAUAUUACUGAAUUAUUGUAGGGAUAAAUAUAAAAAAUUAAAUUUUUGUAAGUAUAUAUUUGUUAUUCAAUAUAUUUACAUAGAGUUAUAUGAAUUUAACCCUUUAUAUUUUAUACUCGUAUUUGAAUCUAUUUCUGUUUAGUAUCAGAUAAAUCUAUAUCUGUUUAGUAUCAGAUAUAUUUACAUAGAGUUAUAUGAAAAAUAUAAAAUAUCAAAUUUAAAAUUUCAAAAUUUAAAAUAUUAAAAUUUAAAUUUUAAAAUUUAAAAUUUAAAAUUAUAUACUUUAAUUUUGAGAGUAUAAAUUAAAAUUUUAAAUUUUAAAAUUUUACUUUUUAAAUUUUUAAAAUAAGAAUAAGGGUGGAAACAAUUAAUAAAAAUAAUUUAUUAUAAUAAAUUUAAUAAAUUUUUUAAAAAUUCUACUUAAACUUAAAUUUAAUAAAAAGAAUUUAUUAUAAUAUUUAAAUAUAAUUUAUUAUAAAUUUUAUUAUAAUAUUUAAAUAUAAAUAAUAUGUAUUAAUAUAGUACAAUUAAUAAUUUUAUAAUAAAAAUAAUGUAUUAUAAUAUAUAAUAUAGUAUAUUAAUAUAUUUUAGUUUUAAUUUAAUUUAUAAUUUUAAUUAAGUUUGAAAUUAAAUAUUCGAAUAGUACUAUUCCAAAAAAAUGAUGAAAUAGCAAAUUCUAUGCUAUUUCAGAAUAACCGGAAAUAGUAAAGUUUGACCGAAAUAAAAUAUUCUAGCCAAAUUUCAUCCCGUUUGGCAGAAUAAUAAGAAUAACUUUUGUUAUCCCUACUUAUACUCUGAACCAAACGGGACUUAAAUAUAUUCGCUCUAUUUGAAUUCGGGUUCGAAUAAAAUUUCGGAUAU
rnacentral:lncRNA from 1 species